GUGGGAUAGUCUAGUGGUUAAGGUGUUCCGACUCCCAGCCGAAAGGCUCUGGGUUUGAACCCCAGUGUCCACA